rnacentral:rRNA from 1 species
ACACGACUACAUUAGAUACCCGGGUAGUCCUAGCCGUAAACGAUACUCGCUAGGUGUCGGCCACGGUGCGACCGUUGUCGGUGCCGUAGGGAAGCCGUGAAGCGAGCCACCUGGGAAGUGCGGCCGCAAGGCUGAAACUUAAAGGAAUUGGCGGGGGAGCACCACAACGGGUGGAGCUUGCGGUUUAAUUGGAUUCAACGCCGGAAAUCUUACCGGGACCGACAGCAACAUGAAGGCCAGGCUGAAGACUUUGCCGGAUUAGCUG